GACGAACGCUGGCGGCGUGCUUAACACAUGCAAGUCGAACGGUGAAGCGAGUGCUUGCACUCGUGGAUCAGUGGCGAACGGGUGAGUAACACGUGAGUAACCUGCCCAUCACUCUGGGAUAAGCACUGGAAACGGUGUCUAAUACUGGAUACGACCAACCCUUGCAUGGGGUGUUGGUGGAAAGAUUUAUCGGUGAUGGAUGGACUCGCGGCCUAUCAGCUUGUUGGCGGGGUAAUGGCCCACCAAGGCGACGACGGGUAGCCGGCCUGAGAGGGUGACCGGCCACACUGGGACUGAGACACGGCCCAGACUCCUACGGGGGGCAGCAGUGGGGAAUAUUGCACAAUGGGCGAAAGCCUGAUGCAGCGACGCCGCGUGAGGGAUGACGGCCUUCGGGUUGUAAACCUCUUUCAGCAGGGAAGAAGCGAAAGUGACGGUACCUGCAGAAGAAGCACCGGCUAACUACGUG
rnacentral:rRNA from 1 species